rnacentral:miRNA from 1 species
AAGACGGUCCAAAACGCCCAC